rnacentral:tRNA from 1 species
GCCGAGAUGGUGGAAUUGGCAGACACGCUACUUUGAGGGGGUAGUGAGGGCAACCUUGUGCGGGUUCGAAUCCCGCUCUCGGCA